UCAAACUUGGUCAUUUAGAGGAAGUAAAAGUCGUAACAAGGUUUCCGUAGGUGAACCUGCGGAAGGAUCAUUAUCGAAUAAACUUGAUGUGGUUGAGCUGACAUCUUAGGGUGUAUGUGCUCGCUCGUCAUCUUUAUCUAUCCACCUGUGCACUUUUUGUAGACUUUUGAGAUGUUACCGUUUUGCUGAGGUUAACCUUGGUUCAGAGGAAUGUCUUUUAUUAGGCUUUUCUUGAGAAGUAACAUCUUGAGUCUAUGUCUUUUUACAUACUCCAAUGAAUGUAUUAGAAUGUAUAUUAAUGGGACAUUUGUGCCUAUAAAUCUAUACAACUUUCAGCAACGGAUCUCUUGGCUCUCGCAUCGAUGAAGAACGCAGC
rnacentral:misc_RNA from 1 species